GACAGAGGGUGCAAACGUUGCUCGGAAUUACUGGGCGUAAAGAGCUCGUAGGCGGUUUGUCGCGUCUGCCGUGAAAGUCCGGGGCUCAACUCCGGAUCUGCGGUGGGUACGGGCAGACUAGAGUGAUGUAGGGGAGACUGGAAUUCCUGGUGUAGCGGUGAAAUGCGCAGAGUAUCAGGAGGAACACCGAUGGCGAAGGCAGGUCUCUGGGCAUUAACUGACGCUGAGGAGCGAAAGCAUGGGGAGCGAACAGG
rnacentral:rRNA from 1 species